UUGCAGGCAAAGGGCCUGGACUACAAUCUGGUCUCUCCACUAAGCAGUCAUGUAACUUUACAAGUCAACAAACAACUCUUAAUCUCAGUUUUCUCACCAGUGCAAUAGGAAUAAUAGCAGUAGCUGGCUCUUAUGGUCACUACGAGGCUUAAAUGCCAUAAUUAAUAUAAAAUCAUUAUUGUUACACCAGAUGAAGAGGAAAUUUGGACACAUGAACAGCCACCAGGGAUGUGCACACACCAUGUGAGGACACAGAGAGAUGGCAGCUAUCCGCAAGCCAAAAAGAGAGGCCUCAGGAGAAACCAAACCUGC
rnacentral:lncRNA from 10 species